rnacentral:rRNA from 1 species
GACAGAGGUGGCAAGCGUUGCUCGGAUUCACUGGGCUUGAAGGGCGCGUAGGCGGCUUUGUAAGUCCGAGGUGGAAUUCCACAGCUUAACUGUGGAACUGCCUUGGAAACUGCAAGGCUUGAGUCAGGUAGAGGGAGGCGGAAUUCCCGGUGUAGCGGUGAAAUGCGUAGAUAUCGGGAGGAAGGCCGGUGGCGAAGGCGGCCUCCUGGGCCUGUACUGACGCUCAUGCACGAAAGCGUGGGGAGCAAACAGG